rnacentral:lncRNA from 1 species
GCUUAAUACAGCCUCUGCUUUUGAAUAGAUUUCCUUACAAGUGGCAAUCUCUAAUAGGGUCAUGUCGAGAGGCAACCCGACUGCAUACUACCUACUGCACGUUAAUGUGAUGAAGUCUCUCCUGAGCACACGGCUUCAUAAACCAGCUGCACAAGCAACUGCAUCUGGGGAUCUGCUUCAAGAGAAACUUACCUAAAGCAAGAAUGGGCUCUAACUUCAGGAUACCUAGGAUUCUAACCUCGUUCCAUUACUUAUCAACCAUAUGACCUGGGAAAAAUUAUAUACCUGCUGUAAGCCUCAAUGUCCUCCUUUGAA